rnacentral:rRNA from 1 species
UACGAAGGGGGCUAGCGUUGUUCGGAUUUACUGGGCGUAAGGCGCACGUAGGCGGAUCUUUAAGUCAGAGGUGAAAUCCCAAGGCUCAACCUUGGAACUGCCUUUGAUACUGGGGACCUUGAGUCCGGGAGAGGUGAGUGGAACUGCGAGUGUAGAGGUGAAAUUCGUAGAUAUUCGCAAGAACACCAGUGGCGAAGGCGGCUCACUGGCCCGGUACUGACGCUGAGGCACGAAAGCGUGGGGAGCAAACAGG